ACGGGUGAGUAAUACAUAGGUAACCUGCCCCUGUGCGGGGGAUAACAGGAGGAAACUCCUGCUAAUACCGCAUAGCCAUGAGCACCGCAUGGAGCUCAUGCCAAAUAUCCUUUCGGGGACAGCGCAGGGAUGGACCUAUGGCGCAUUAGCUAGUUGGCGGGGCAACGGCCCACCAAGGCAACGAUGCGUAGCCGGCCUGAGAGGGCGGACGGCCACAUUGGGACUGAGACACGGCCCAGACUCCUACGGGAGGCAGCAGUAGGGAAUUUUCGGCAAUGGGGGAAACCCUGACCGAGCAACGCCGCGUGAGCGAAGAAGGCCUUCGGGUCGUAAAGCUCUGUUGUAAAGGAAGAACGGCGCAUACAGGAAAUGGUAUGCGAGUGACGGUACUUUACCAGAAAGCCACGGCUAACUACGUGCCAGCAGCCGCGGUAAUACGUAGGUGGCGAGCGUUAUCCGGAAUCAUUGGGCGUAAAGAGGGAGCAGGCGGCCGCAAGGGUCUGUGGUGAAAGACCGAAGCUAAACUUCGGUAAGCCAUGGAAACCGGGCGGCUAGAGUGCGGAAGAGGAUCGUGGAAUUCCAUGUGUAGCGGUGAAAUGCGUAGAUAUAUGGAGGAACACCAGUGGCGAAGGCGACGG
rnacentral:rRNA from 1 species